rnacentral:rRNA from 1 species
CCUACGGGUGGCUGCAGUGGGGAAUAUUGGACAAUGGGGGCAACCCUGAUCCAGCCAUGCCGCGUGUGUGAAGAAGGCCCUCGGGUUGUAAAGCACUUUCAGUGAGGAAGAACGCCUGGUGGUUAAUACCCAUCAGGAAAGACAUCACUCACAGAAGAAGCACCGGCUAACUCCGUGCCAGCAGCCGCGGUAAUACGGAGGGUGCGAGCGUUAAUCGGAAUUACUGGGCGUAAAGCGUGCGUAGGUGGCUUGAUAAGCCGGUUGUGAAAGCCCCGGGCUCAACCUGGGAACGGCAUCCGGAACUGUCAAGCUAGAGUGCAGGAGAGGAAGGUAGAAUUCCCGGUGUAGCGGUGAAAUGCGUAGAGAUCGGGAGGAAUACCAGUGGCGAAGGCGGCCUUCUGGACUGACACUGACACUGAGGUGCGAAAGCGUGGGUAGCAAACAGGAUUAGAUACCCUGGUAGUC